AGAGUUUGAUCCUGGCUCAGAACGAACGCUGGCGGCAUGCCUAAUACAUGCAAGUCGAACGCGUGGAGCAAUCCACGAGUGGCGGACGGGUGAGUAACGCGUGGGAACCUGCCCUUGAGUGCGGGAUAACCGAGGGAAACUUCGGCUAAUACCGCAUGCUCCUCAGCAAUGAGGGAAAGAUUUAUCGCUCGAGGAGGGGC
rnacentral:rRNA from 1 species